rnacentral:rRNA from 1 species
UGGGGAAUAUUGGGCAAUGGGCGAAAGCCUGACCCAGCAACGCCGCGUGAGGGAAGAAGGUCUUCGGAUUGUAAACCUCUGUCCUUGGGGACGAAAAAAAUGACGGUACCCAAGGAGGAAGCCCCGGCUAACUACGUGCCAGCAGCCGCGGUAAUACGUAGGGGGCAAGCGUUGUCCGGAAUUACUGGGCGUAAAGGGUGCGUAGGCGGUUGCCUAAGUCAGAUGUGAAAUCCCCGGGCUUAACUCGGGUGGUGCAUUUGAAACUGGGCGGCUAGAGUGCAGGAGAGGGAAGCGGAAUUCCUAGUGUAGCGGUGAAAUGCGUAGAUAUUAGGAGGAACACCAGUGGCGAAGGCGGCUUUCUGGACUGUAACUGACGCUGAGGCACGAAAGCGUGGGGAGCAAACAG